GUGUCAGCCGCCGCGGUAACACGUAUGGGGCAAGCGUUGUUCGGAAUCACUGGGCGUAAAGGGCGUGUAGGCGGUUCGAAAAGCCCGGCGUGAAAGGUGUCGGCCUAACCGACAGACUGCGCUGGGAACUGCCGGACUGGAGUCAUGGAGGGGGAGCUGGAAUUCCAGGUGUAGGGGUGAAAUCUGUAGAGAUCUGGAAGAACACCGGUGGCGAAGGCGAGCUUCUGGCCAAUGACUGACGCUGAGGCGCGAAAGCGUGGGGAGCAAACAGGAUUAGAUACCCCCGUAGUCC
rnacentral:rRNA from 1 species